GUCUUCUUGUUAUAUUUAGGAAGUCUGGCCUGCCCAGUGAAAAUUAAUUUAACGGCCGCGGUAUACUGACCGUGCAAAGGUAGCAUAAUCAUUAGUCUUUUAAUAGAGGGCUGGUAUGAAGGGUUUAACGAGGUGUUGACUGUCUCAUUUAAUUUGGAUAUUAGAAUUUAAUUUUUUAGUUAAAAAGCUAAAAUAUUAUUGGAAGACGAGAAGACCCUAUAGAGCUUUAUACUUUUAUUAUUAAUUUAUUAUAGAUUAUUAUUAUUUAUUAUUAAUAAAAAGUAUUUUGUUGGGGUGACAAAAAUAUAUAAGCAACUUUUUUAUUUGAUUUACAUUGAUAUAUGAAUAUUAGAUCCAAUCUUAUUGAUUGUUAGAUUAAGUUACCUUAGGGAUAACAGCGUAAUCCCUCUCCAGAGUUCAUAUUUACAGAGGGGCUUGCGACCUCGAUGUUGGAUUAAGAUAAUAAUUAGGUGCAGCCGCUUAAUUAAUAGGUCUGUUCGACCUUUAAAUUCUU
rnacentral:rRNA from 1 species